UACGUAGGCGGAAAAUUAAGUCAGUAGUGAAAUCCGGCAGCUUAACUGUAGAACUGUUAUUGAUACUGGUUUUCUUGAAUAUAGUUGAGGUAGGCGGAAUGUGUAAUGUAGCGGUGAAAUGCUUAGAUAUUACACAGAACACCGAUUGCGACGGCAGCUUACUAAGCUAUGAUUGACGCUGAGGUACGAAAGCGUGGGGAGCGAACAGGAUUAGAUACCCUGGUAGUCC
rnacentral:rRNA from 1 species